CCCGUCUGUCUCACCCCUCCCUCCCGUCUGUCUCCCUCCCCCCUCUGUCAGGGGGGAGACAUACAGCCCCCGGUCUCCUUCCUCUGCUCUGAGGGGGUCCAGGCCCUUGUUCUUUUGAGGGGUACGGCCUCCUUCAUCCAGACACCUGGACCCCGCCCUGAGCCCUGAGCCCUGAGCGCCCCCUCAGUAUAACCCCGCCCCCCUCAGUAUAACCCCGCCCCCCUCAGUAUAACCCCGCCCCCCCCUCUCACAGCUUUGACAGUGAGCUGUGUUGAUCUUAGUAUUGACAGUAUCAGGCGGGCGACCACACAGGGGUCACCUCCCCAUCGGUCCAGCGUUGGGCCCACCAGGUGAUGACAGUGUUGUGCCUCGGCCCAAACAAAGGCCGGUGUCUUACUGCGCAGGCCAGGUGGCUGUACUACGAAUAUACGCUUCAUGGCUGUUGAACCCACGCGCAGAGUUCUCUUCUUUUGUCCAUGUGAGAGUACACGGAUGGUACUGGUGUUGCACACCCCCCGUCAGAACACGCCUUUUGACUCAGACAAAGCGCCAGGAAGUGUUAACCCCGGGCUUAUUAUGUAAAGGAAAGCGUUGAUCUGAAUUCCACCUUUUUACAUGUCUCGUUCUUUGGAAGGAUGUUACUUUUACUUAUUAGGGAUGUGUGCGGUUUGUUUUCCCCCACUAGACUGAAGCCUUGUGCUAGCUCUGUCCCCCCCCCGGGCCCCUCCCUGAUUUAGAAGAAACCCCUUAACGUCCGUUGAUUAGUUUUUAGAUGCAGAGAAACAACAGUUCAGCAAGAAAAUGGCCAAAAGCCGCUCUUUGAUUGUAAAUACAGCUUCUCCGUGAAUCUAUAUAUUAGGAAAAAAAAAUGACAAAAAUAUUUUUUGCACAGUUUGUGAUAUGUAUAUCUAUAUAAUUGAAAAAGAAAAGUUUAUAUCCUAGUUACAUAGCUUUAGUUUCCCUGCCAUUUCAAGCAAGCACAAGUAAGGAAUAGAUUAAAAAAAAGAUGCUACCUCUUGGGAGAUCUGUGUGUGUGUGUGUGUGUGUGUGUGUGUGUGUGUGUGUGUGUGUGUGUGUGUGUGUGUGUGUGUGUGUGUGUGUGUGUGUGUGUGUGUGUGUGUGUGUGUGUGUGUGUGUGUGUGUGUGUGUGUGUGUGUGUGUGUGAUGAGCUAGACCGAAACGUUCCGUGGCAUAGAGUCUGGCACCAGGUUAACUUUGUCGUUACAUCCAAGGCAGUGCCAAAUAUAAAGCUAUGGUGCUCAUGUUGUCAUAACGUGUGUUGAUUCAGAACGGGCCGUUGAUUGACCACCUCUCCCUUCGGCCCCGCCCCACGCCGCGUGGUACGCGUGUUUCUUUCUCCUUCCUGUUCAGAAGAGGAUCAUUACAGUACUCGUCAGGCGCGGCUAGUGUGUUUUAGUGUGAAACAUUCCAGCAGUGUCUUAUAACAAAGAAUCAUUCACGGUCCAGUGACUCCAGUUACUAAAAACCAUCCACUUUUAGUUUGUUCACGUCGGAUCACAAGUCCUAUCGUAUAAAUCGACGUGAUGUUUCUCAUCCCCCAUACCAGGAAUGUUUGAUCGCUAGGCGACGGGACGACUCUGUGGUUACUUCAUAUUGAGAUUCCAGUUGGUCACAGAGAGAGUGGCAGUAUUUUAGUUAAGUUAAACAUUUUGUAAUACUCAACAAUGGGAUUUUUGUGUAACUUGGUCUUCUCAGUUUGUUUGGUCUCUGACAGCUUCGGUGAGGGAUUUAAUAUCUUGGUGUGCAAAGGAAUCUUGGGUGUUUUAAAGACUGAUUUUCAGAUUACUGCAAUUGCUGUUAAUUUUUAAAUGUAAGCCUUCAGUGUUUUUGCUAUUAAAAAUUCCUGUUAUGGCAUCAAAUGAAA